CUAAGAAGGACAAAAAUGACUUCGACUGCUGAACCCAGGACAGUAUCCACCCCUUAUUCCAUACCAUUCACGUCAUCUUCAGAUCACACAUUUUCAAUAUACCAUCACUCUUAUCUCAUAUAUGUACAUAUAUGUUUAUUCAUCCACAUAGAGAGAGAGAUUGAGAGAGUUUAUUCCUUAGUGCAUGGACCAAUCCCUAUUAAUCUGCUGAGUCCAUUCAGUCCAUGAUGUCGGGCUUCAUCUCUUGUAAAAGUCUUUCAGAUCAGUAGAUGCUGUGUGCAGUGUUGGAUCAUUGCCUGCUGAUGCUGAUUGUUCCUUUACCGCAGAACUUGUCUGGUUUCAUCAAAUUUCAUUCUUUGUUGGGAUGGUGGUCGGAGGGAAGUCAGGGCCAAUUCCUGGUGACCUGAAGACAUCUAGUUGGUGGUCUAUAGAAGUGCUACAUAGCAGGCAAUAGCAUACAAUUGAGUUCAUUGGCUGUUUUCCUCUAAAUCGUGAAUAACCUGGGCAAUAGUGUCCAUUGUUAAAUCCACCUCUCAAUCACAAGCCCAUCUGUAUGUUGCAUCUCUGCCCUGAUGGCCUGAAGUGUCAUGGGCCCAGCAGGCCAAAAAUAAUUCACCUUUAUGUUGCCAAUCUGAGUCCAUCUGCACCACUUCAAUCUUAGCAGCUUUAUCCACUUGUUGUUCUGGUGUUCC